CCCCUGAAGGCGCCAGGAAGACUACCUGGUUGAUAGGCCGGAGGUCCAAGCGCGGCAACGCGUUCAGCCGACCGGUACUAAUCCGCCGCGAGGCUUGACCAU
rnacentral:rRNA from 1 species